rnacentral:lncRNA from 1 species
GUUUGCCUCUUUAUGUUUGUAUAUCUUCUUCACUCAAAUAAUACUCAAAAAAUCCGGGUAACCCCUAGAAUAAAGGGAGCUAGUGAAUCAGUGGCAUUUCUAGGAGUACUAUCAUUCCAACAACAACAACAACAACUACCCAGUAAAAUCCCACAUAGUGGGGUCUGGGGAGGGUAAUGUAUAGCAGACCUUACCCCUGCCCCGAUAGGGCAGAGAGGCUGUUUCCGAUAGACCCUCGGCUCAGAGCAACGAAAAUAAAAGAGAACAAGGAAAAACGGGAAAAGAAAAGAAAAGAAAAUUCAUUAGUAACUUCAAUGAAAACCAUUAUAGUAAUAUAAGCAUAAAAAAACAAAAGAUGAAUUACAUGCAGUAACAUUAACCAGAAUCCAAGGCAUCUAAGAUAAACCUCAAGAACCUAUUGCUUAAAAAUUAUCUGCUGUAAUUCGUAGUAUAUGGUCAGAAAUGGCAUAACAAUUACCAUGAGGAAGCCAACUUCAAAAAUAGUGUGGGUCCCACAUAAACUACAAGCCAUCUAGGAUCAACCCUAAUCCAACCUCGCCUCACCCCCAGAAUGCAAAAAGGGAAGCACUAUUACCCCUGUCCUACAACUCUAAUGUUUAUCCUCGAUGCCGUCCUAUCAAGAGCCAUGUCCUCGGAAAUCUGCAGACGUGCCAUGUCCUACCUGAUCACCUCUCCUCAGUUCUUCUUAGGUCUCCCUCUACCUCUUCUUAUACCCACCACGGCCAACCGCUCGCACCUCCUUACCGGGACAUCGAUGCUUCUCCUCUGCACG